AUUGAACGCUGGCGGCAGGCUUAACACAUGCAAGUCGAGCGGAGAUGAGGUGCUUGCACCUAAUCUUAGCGGCGGACGGGUGAGUAAUGCUUAGGAAUCUGCCAUUUAGUGGGGGACAACAUUCCGAAAGGGAUGCUAAUACCGCAUACGCCCUACGGGGGAAAGCAGGGGAUCUUCGGACCUUGCGCUAAAUGAUGAGCCUAAGUCGGAUUAGCUAGUUGGUGGGGUAAAGGCCUACCAAGGCGACGAUCUGUAGCGGGUCUGAGAGGAUGAUCCGCCACACUGGGACUGAGACACGGCCCAGACUCCUACGGGAGGCAGCAGUGGGGAAUAUUGGACAAUGGGCGGAAGCCUGAUCCAGCCAUGCCGCGUGUGUGAAGAAGGCCUUUUGGUUGUAAAGCACUUUAAGCGAGGAGGAGGCUACCUGGAUUAAUACUCUGGGAUAGUGGACGUUACUCGCAGAAUAAGCACCGGCUAACUCUGUGCCAGCAGCCGCGGUAAUACAGAGGGUGCGAGCGUUAAUCGGAUUUACUGGGCGUAAAGCGUGCGUAGGCGGCUGAUUAAGUCGGAUGUGAAAUCCCUGAGCUUAACUUAGGAAUUGCAUUCGAUACUGGUCAGCUAGAGUAUGGGAGAGGAUGGUAGAAUUCCAGGUGUAGCGGUGAAAUGCGUAGAGAUCUGGAGGAAUACCGAUGGCGAAGGCAGCCAUCUGGCCUAAUACUGACGCUGAGGUACGAAAGCAUGGGGAGCAAACAGGAUUAGAUACCCUGGUAGUCCAUGCCGUAAACGAUGUCUACUAGCCGUUGGGGCCUUUGAGGCUUUAGUGGCGCAGCUAACGCGAUAAGUAGACCGCCUGGGGAGUACGGUCGCAAGACUAAAACUCAAAUGAAUUGACGGGGGCCCGCACAAGCGGUGGAGCAUGUGGUUUAAUUCGAUGCAACGCGAAGAACCUUACCUGGCCUUGACAUACUAGAAACUUUCCAGAGAUGGAUUGGUGC
rnacentral:rRNA from 1 species